rnacentral:tRNA from 1 species
GGGCCGUUAGCUCAGUUGGCAGAGCACCUGACUUUUAAUCAGGUGGUCGCAGGUUCGAGGCCUGCACGGCUCACCA